rnacentral:rRNA from 1 species
AACGAACGCUGGCGGCAUGCCUAACACAUGCAAGUCGAACGAGACCUUCGGGUCUAGUGGCGCACGGGUGCGUAACGCGUGGGAACCUGCCCUUAGGUUCGGAAUAACUCCCCGAAAGGGGUGCUAAUACCGGAUAAUGUCUUCGGACCAAAGAUUUAUCGCCUUUGGAUGGGCCCGCGUUGGAUUAGCUAGUUGGUAGGGUAAAAGCCUACCAAGGCGACGAUCCAUAGCUGGUCUGAGAGGAUGAUCAGCCACACUGGGACUGAGACACGGCCCAGACUCCCACCGGAAGGCGGAAGUGGGAAUAAUUGACCAUUGGCCGAAGCCCUGACCCACCAUUCCGGCGUAGUUAAUGAGGCCCUUAGGUUUGAAAGCCUCUUUUACCCGGAAGGUUAAGACAGGACCCGGGGAAUAAGGCCCCGCUAACUCCGUU